rnacentral:lncRNA from 1 species
ACUUUUCCUGACUACUUGGUUGUGUGGUCUCUUCUAUUCUCCCUGAAUGCAUUAUUAUAUAUUUUUUUAAGUUUGCUCUGAUCUUAGUGAGCCGAUUUACAGUCUGUGUGCAAAAUAGAAAUGGAAUGAGACAAAGUUAGAAAUGCUCAGACUUUUUUGAAGAGUAAAUCGCUGAUUGAGAAUCACCUCUACAGGCACCAGAAGCCUUCUCAAGUCUCAACACGAUGCUUUUGUAAACGAGAUAUAUGGACGUUUUGGUGCUCUACAAAUUAUAUUUAUUUAUUUUUCAAAAAAAUCACAUUAAAAAUGAAAAGUAAAUUUUCAUACUCAAUC